AAAAAACACCACAGCUAGCGCGCACCAGCGCCCCUCCCUCUCGCGACUGAAAAUAGCUAGGGUUCCACGGCGAGCCUCCCAGCCGCCGCCGGUGCCCUCCGCCGUCGUGAGCCUCCCAGCCGCCGCCGGUGCCCUCCGCCGUCGUGAGCCUCCCAGCCGCCGCCGGUGCCCUCCGCCGUCGUGAGCCUCCCAGCCGCCGCCGGUGCCCUCCGCCGUCGUGAGCCUCCCAGCCGCCGCCGGUGCCCUCCGCCGUCGUGAGCCUCCCAGCCGCCGCCGGUGCCCUCCGCCGUCGUGAGCCUCCCAGCCGCCGCCGGUGCCCUCCGCCGUCGUGAGCCUCCCAGCCGCCGCCGGUGCCCUCCGCCGUCGUGAGCCUCCCAGCCGCCGCCGGUGCCCUCCGCCGUCGUGAGCCUCCCAGCCGCCGCCGGUGCCCUCCGCCGUCGUGAGCCUCCCAGCCGCCGCCGGUGCCCUCCGCCGUCGUGAGCCUCCCAGCCGCCGCCGGUGCCCUCCGCCGUCGUGAGCCUCCCAGCCGCUGUCGCGAGCCUCUCCGCCGCUGCCGGUGCCCUCCGCCGUCGCGAGCCAUUGCCAGUGCCCUCCCCGUCUGCCGCCACCGAUGCUCUCCCAGCCGCUGUCGUGCGUUUGCAGACGCCAUGGAGCCGGCGGUGCGCGUGCAGCUGGCAGGGCUCGGUGAGGACAACCGCCAGGAGGGGCUGUGUAGGCGGCCGUCGCCCCAUCCGCUCCA
rnacentral:lncRNA from 1 species